rnacentral:rRNA from 1 species
GUGAGGAAUAUUGGUCAAUGGCCGAGAGGCUGAACCAGCCAAGUCGCGUGAGGGAUGAAGGUUCUAUGGAUCGUAAACCUCUUUUAUAAGGGAAUAAAGUGCGGGACGUGUCCCGUUUUGUAUGUACCUUAUGAAUAAGGAUCGGCUAACUCCGUGCCAGCAGCCGCGGUAAUACGGAGGAUCCGAGCGUUAUCCGGAUUUAUUGGGUUUAAAGGGUGCGUAGGCGGCCUUUUAAGUCAGCGGUGAAAGUCUGUGGCUCAACCAUAGAAUUGCCGUUGAAACUGGGGGGCUUGAGUAUGUUUGAGGCAGGCGGAAUGCGUGGUGUAGCGGUGAAAUGCAUAGAUAUCACGCAGAACCCCGAUUGCGAAGGCAGCCUGCCAAGCCAUUACUGACGCUGAUGCACGAAAGCGUGGGGAUCAAACAGGAUUAGAAACCCUAGUAGUCC